GUGAAUUACUAGAACGCAAACACACACACACGCCCUUUUUUCAUAUAUAUAUUUAUAGAUCCUUUAUUCUCCAAACAAAGGAUGGUAUUUUUUUAAGGGGGAGAAAGGCAGGGGGCGAGGAGAGAAUUAAAAAAACAAAAAAAAAAAAAACAAAAAACCCCAGCAGCCCUUCUUUGUGCUGGGUGCAAUUCACCGUAUGGAGCCACCUCAGUCUCCCGGCAAAGCAUCCCCGCCUGAAACCCACGUUUGUGCACAAUGGCCAAGUGGUGCAUGGUGGUUGUUGUGUUUUCUCCCAAGCCCACUUUACAAAGACACUGCAAGAAGACAGACACAGUAAUGCUUGCAAGGCAACAGGCAGAGAGACAGACUCGGUACAACUGUGGAUUAGGGGUGUGGCCGCGCCGUCGGGGCCGAGGAAUCUCUGGCACCGCAGGAGCAGCAGCCCACACCAGAUUCCUCCACAAGACAAAUUUCUUCUGCAAGUCCUUCUAGAGGAGAUCUACCAGAGAAAUGACAGUGAUAACAAGUUAAAAAGGAUGAUAAAAUGACAAGGAGUACGUGGAACCAAACAGCGACCGCUGUCUGCCUUCCACAGAAAACCCUUGCACUUCUCACUCUGUUUCUUGCUUUUCCUCAUGCCUUCUAAGGAACGUGGAGCAGCCUCUGCUUCGGACAGGAGGACGUCCGUCCCAGGAGAAAGAGCAUCAGUUCUCAGUUGGGCCACCUUCCAUGCGAUGGAGCAACGUAGCUAAGCUGUAGGUUGCCUUAUGCUUGCAACACUGCAACCCCGAGGAAGUCUGCAUCUGCAGAGAUCUGCCUUCAUGCCUGGACUGAUAAGCGACGCUGGGGAAGCGUCUUGGCCAGAUGCUGCUGCAGUAUCCCGCCUCCUCAUCGCAUCGCCCUCUGGAAGACAGAAGUGACGAUCAGCAGCGUGGUGUUGUCCUGCAGGCAGCUGAAGAACCACUUUGACAGCAAGCAGGAGAACAACUAUGCAGUGUAAUCACAGCCUGUCUGUGCUCUUUCUAACAGUGUACAUGAGCACCCUAUUCCCAGCGAGGGGAUGCUGUAACCUCCCCCUGCUGACCUGUAUUCUUCUCCGUUACUGUAACCAAGCUGUUUCUUUCCCACGGCCACGCGUUCCUGCAGAUAUACCAAGGGUUCCCAUGCAGAUAGGUUUACAAAUUCAGGAAGGGCUUGGACAGAGCAAAAGGAGAAUGAAGUAAUUCCCAAAUAUUUGCACUGUGGCUGAUGAAAUUAGCAGGAGAGCUGAGUGGGUGUAUAGGGGUCUGCUGGGGGACGGAUGGAAGGAAACCUGGGGACAAACUGUCUGCUGUUCGACGUGCUCUGAGUGCUGUGUGAUAAAGGUGAAUCACCCAGCUUAGCUGCAGGUGAGCCAGCAGGACAGUGGCUGGGGCCGAGUCCCACUGCAGCCUGUGUGGGGGCUGUGUGCUGGGUCCGGUGGGCUUUGAAUCCCACCACAAAGACAGUGGCUGUCGACAAGGUCACGAACGCAGAGCUUCGCCUUCUGUUGAUUAUGUGGUUGUCAGUGGAAGAAUUACUGUGUAUCUAUGGGAAAUGUUAAAAAACAACAACGCCUUUUUUUCUUGAAUAAAUCUGUGAAACGAACCAAC
rnacentral:lncRNA from 1 species